GAUGAACGCUGGCGGCGUGCCUAAUACAUGCAAGUCGAGCGAACAGACGAGGAGCUUGCUCCUCUGACGUUAGCGGCGGACGGGUGAGUAACACGUGGAUAACCUACCUAUAAGACUGGGAUAACUUCGGGAAACCGGAGCUAAUACCGGAUAAUAUAUUGAACCGCAUGGUUCAAUAGUGAAAGACGGUUUUGCUGUCACUUAUAGAUGGAUCCGCGCCGCAUUAGCUAGUUGGUAAGGUAACGGCUUACCAAGGCAACGAUGCGUAGCCGACCUGAGAGAGUGAUCGGCCACACUGGAACUGAGACACGGGCCAGACUCCUACGGGAGGCAGCAGUAGGGAAUCUUCCACAAUGGGCGAAAGCCUGACGGAGCAACGCCGCGUGAGUGAUAAAAGUCUUCGGAUCGUAAAACUCUGUUAUUAGGGAAGAACAAAUGUGUAAGUAACUAUGCACGUCUUGACGGUACCUAAUCAGAAAGCCACGGCUAACUACGUG
rnacentral:rRNA from 1 species